rnacentral:rRNA from 1 species
GUGUCAGCCGCCGCGGUAAUACGUAGGGAGCAAGCGUUGUUCGGAAUUAUUGGGCGUAAAGAGCGCGUAGGCGGUUCGGUAAGUCUGAUGUGAAAUCCCAGAGCUUAACUCUGGAACUGCAUUGGAUACUGCCGAGCUUGAGUGUGGGAGAGGAGAGUGGAAUUCCCAGUGUAGAGGUGAAAUUCGUAGAUAUUGGGAGGAACACCCGUGGCGAAGGCGGCUCUCUGGACCACAACUGACGCUGAGGCGCGAAAGCUAGGGUAGCAAACGGGAUUAGAAACCCUAGUAGUCC